GUUGGUUGUCGUCAGCUCGUGUCGUGAGAUGUUGGGUUAAGUCCCGCAACGAGCGCAACCCCUAUUGUUAGUUGCCAUCAUUCAGUUGGGCACUCUAGCGAGACUGCCGGUAAUAAACCGGAGGAAGUGGGGAUGACGUCAAAUCAUCAUGCCCCUUAUGACCUGGGCUACACACGUGCUACAAUGGUUGGUACAACGAGUUGCGAGUCGGUGACGGCGAGCUAAUCUCUUAAAGCCAAUCUCAGUUCGGAUUGUAGGCUGCAACUCGCCUACAUGAAGUCGGAAUCGCUAGUAAUCGCGGAUCAGCACGCCGCGGUCGAAUACGUUCCGGGCCUU
rnacentral:rRNA from 1 species